UUAGAUUGGAAUUUUAGAUAAUGAAAAAAUUUUUAGUAUAAAUAUAUCCCAUGUAAUGUUUGGGUCAUACUUAUACUAAAACAGUAUUAUUUCUAAACUUUAAACCCAUCACUAUAUUUCAAUUUCCUCU
rnacentral:miRNA from 1 species